GACGAACGCUGGCGGCGUGCCUAAUACAUGCAAGUCGAACGAAACUUUCUUACACCGAAUGCUUGCGUUCACCGUAAGAAGUUGAGUGGCGGACGGGUGAGUAACACGUGGGUAACCUGCCUAAAAGAAGGGGAUAACACUUGGAAACAGGUGCUAAUACCGUAUAUCUCUAAGGAUCGCAUGAUCCUUAGAUGAAAGAUGGUUCCGCUAUCGCUUUUAGAUGGACCCGCGGCGUAUUAACUAGUUGGUGGGGUAACGGCCUACCAAGGUGAUGAUACGUAGCCGAACUGAGAGGUUGAUCGGCCACAUUGGGACUGAGACACGGCCCAAACUCCUACGGGAGGCAGCAGUAGGGAAUCUUCCACAAUGGACGCAAGUCUGAUGGAGCAACGCCGCGUGAGUGAAGAAGGUCUUCGGAUCGUAAAACCCUGUUGUUAGAGAAGAACACGAGUGAGAGUAACUGUUCAUUCGAUGAAGGAUCUAACCACCAGCACGC
rnacentral:rRNA from 2 species